UACGUAGGGUGCGAGCGUUAAUCGGAAUUACUGGGCGUAAAGCGUGCGCAGGCGGUUUGGUAAGACAGAUGUGAAAUCCCCGGGCUUAACCUGGGAACUGCAUUUGUGACUGCCAGACUAGAGUGUAGCAGAGGGGGGUAGAAUUCCACGUGUAGCAGUGAAAUGCGUAGAGGUGUGGAGGAAUACCGAUGGCGAAGGCAGCCCCCUGGGCUAACACUGACGCUCAUGCACGAAAGCGUGGGGAGCAAACAGGACUAGAUACCCUGGUAGUCCACGCCCUAAACGAUGUCAACUAGGUGUUGGGGAAGGAGACUUCUUUAGUACCGCAGCUAACGCGUGAAGUUGACCGCCUGGGGAGUACGGUCGCAAGAUUAAAACUCAAAGGAAUUGACGGGGACCCGCACAAGCGGUGGAUUAUGUGGAUUAAUUCGAUGCAACGCGAAAAACCUUACCUACCCUUGACAUGUCAGGAAGAUUGCAGAGAUGUGAUUGUGCCCGAAAGGGAACCUGAACACAGGUGCUGCAUGGCUGUCGUCAGCUCGUGUCGUGAGAUGUUGGGUUAAGUCCCGCAACGAGCGCAACCCUUGUCAUUAAUUGCCAUCAUUUAGUUGGGCACUUUAAUGAGACUGCCGGUGAUAAACCGGAGGAAGGUGGGGAUGACGUCAAGUCCUCAUGGCCCUUAUGGGUAGGGCUUCACACGUAAUACAAUGGUCGGUACAGAGGGUUGCCAACCCGCGAGGGGGAGCUAAUCUCAGAAAGCCGAUCGUAGUCCGGAUCGGAGUCUGCAACUCGACUCCGUGAAGUCGGAAUCGCUAGUAAUCGCGGAUCAGCAUGUCGCGGUGAAUACGUUCCCGGGUCU
rnacentral:rRNA from 1 species